rnacentral:rRNA from 1 species
CCUUGGUCAGGUUGAAGUUCAGGUAACACUGAAUGGAGGACCGAACCGACUUACGUUGAAAAGUGAGCGGAUGAACUGAGGGUAGCGGAGAAAUUCCAAUCGAACCUGGAGAUAGCUGGUUCUCUCCGAAAUAGCUUUAGGGCUAGCCUCAAGUGAUGAUUAUUGGAGGUAGAGCACUGUUUGGACGAGGGGCCCCUCUCGGGUUACCGAAUUCAGACAAACUCCGAAUGCCAAUUAAUUUAACUUGGGAGUCAGAACAUGGGUGAUAAGGUCCGUGUUCGAAAGGGAAACAGCCCAGACCACCAGCUAAGGUCCCAAAAUAUAUGUUAAGUGGAAAAGGAUGUGGCGUUGCCCAGACAACUAGGAUGUUGGCUUAGAAGCAGCCAUCAUUUAAAGAGUGCGUAAUAGCUCACUAGUCGAGUGACACUGCGCCGAAAAUGUACCGGGGCUAAACAUAUUACCGAAGCUGUGGAUUGUCCUUUGGACAAUGGUAGGAGAGCGUUCUAAGGGCGUUGAAGCAUGAUCGUAAGGACAUGUGGAGCGCUUAGAAGUGAGAAUGCCGGUGUGAGUAGCGAAAGACGGGUGAGAAUCCCGUCCACCGAUUGACUAAGGUUUCCAGAGGAAGGCUCGUCCGCUCUGGGUUAGUCGGGUCCUAAGCUGAGGCCGACAGGCGUAGGCGAUGGAUAACAGGUUGAUAUUCCUGUACCACCUAUAAUCGUUUUAAUCGAUGGGGGGACGCAGUAGGAUAGGCGAAGCGUGCGAUUGGAUUGCACGUCUAAGCAGUAAGGCUGAGUAUUAGGCAAAUCCGGUACUCGUUAAGGCUGAGCUGUGAUGGGGAGAAGACAUUGUGUCUUCGAGUCGUUGAUUUCACACUGCCGAGAAAAGCCUCUAGAUAGAAAAUAGGUGCCCGUACCGCAAACCGACACAGGUAGUCAAGAUGAGAAUUCUAAGGUGAGCGAGCGAACUCUCGUUAAGGAACUCGGCAAAAUGACCCCGUAACUUCGGGAGAAGGGGUGCUCUUUAGGGUUAACGCCCAGAAGAGCCGCAGUGAAUAGGCCCAAGCGACUGUUUAUCAAAAACACAGGUCUCUGCUAAACCGUAAGGUGAUGUAUAGGGGCUGACGCCUGCCCGGUGCUGGAAGGUUAAGAGGAGUGGUUAGCUUCUGCGAAGCUACGAAUCGAAGCCCCAGUAAACGGCGGCCGUAACUAUAACGGUCCUAAGGUAGCGAAAUUCCUUGUCGGGUAAGUUCCGACCCGCACGAAAGGCGUAACGAUUUGGGCACUGUCUCAACGAGAGACUCGGUGAAAUCAUAGUACCUGUGAAGAUGCAGGUUACCCGCGACAGGACGGAAAGACCCCGUGGAGCUUUACUGUAGCCUGAUAUUGAAAUUCGGCACAGCUUGUACAGGAUAGGUAGGAGCCUUUGAAACGUGAGCGCUAGCUUACGUGGAGGCGCUGGUGGGAUACUACCCUAGCUGUGUUGGCUUUCUAACCCGCACCACUUAUCGUGGUGGGAGACAGUGUCAGGCGGGCAGUUUGACUGGGGCGGUCGCCUCCUAAAAGGUAACGGAGGCGCUCAAAGGUUCCCUCAGAAUGGUUGGAAAUCAUUCAUAGAGUGUAAAGGCAUAAGGGAGCUUGACUGCGAGACCUACAAGUCGAGCAGGGUCGAAAGACGGACUUAGUGAUCCGGUGGUUCCGCAUGGAAGGGCCAUCGCUCAACGGAUAAAAGCUACCCCGGGGAUAACAGGCUUAUCUCCCCCAAGAGUUCACAUCGACGGGGAGGUUUGGCACCUCGAUGUCGGCUCAUCGCAUCCUGGGGCUGUAGUCGGUCCCAAGGGUUGGGCUGUUCGCCCAUUAAAGCGGUACGCGAGCUGGGUUCAGAACGUCGUGAGACAGUUCGGUCCCUAUCCGUCGUGGGCGUAGGAAAUUUGAGAGGAGCUGUCCUUAGUACGAGAGGACCGGGAUGGACAUACCUCUGGUGUACCAGUUGUCGUGCCAACGGCAUAGCUGGGUAGCUAUGUGUGGACGGGAUAAGUGCUGAAAGCAUCUAAGCAUGAAGCCCCCCUCAAGAUGAGAUUUCCCAACUUCGGUUAUAAGAUCCCUCAAAGAUGAUGAGGUUAAUAGGUUCGAGGUGGAAGCAUGGUGACAUGUGGAGCUGACGAAUACUAAUCGAUCGAAGACUUAAUCAAAA